rnacentral:lncRNA from 1 species
GCAUGUUGCCUCAUGGGGGAAAACAAACAAACAAAAAAAAGAAGUAGGACAUGCAAGUCAAUAGAAGUAUUAAAGUUACAUCCUUUUAAUCACAGAUAAUUCCUUUGGGAUACAAUUUCUAGCUUUAGCCAGGUGUGCAUGUUGCUGUCAUUUGCAUUUUUGAAUCAUCUUGUGUAAUUGUCACCAUGAAAGUGUUACUCAGAAAUGUCAUAGGUUUUUCAUCUUUGUGCAAAACAUGAAAUAUUGUCACUGACUUUUUGUGUUGAGGUUCCCCCAUUUUGCUGCCCACUUGGGCACAGUUUUCGUUCAAUACUUGGUCUUGGCUGCAUUCUUUUUUUUCUGUGGGGUUUACAAAGAAUAAACAUUUUCUUGCAGAUAAAAAGAGAUAAUUAUUAUUUUUAUUUUUUUUUCCUUUUUUUGCCUUUUUAACUGACCCGAUUUAGAAGUGUAAAGAACAGGUUUUGUUUAAAGAGCACCCUGUUAUUCCAGAACUGACAAAGGCUUUGGAAGUGCCUGAUCUGAGAGCAUUGUUUCCCGGGAGGAAAAGGAUGAGAUGUCUCCCGUGACACGAGGCACCGGGAGAAGCCCUGUCAGGCUGCUAAAGGAUCGUGGCAAAUCAUCAUCAGAUGGAGAAGGUAAAACUCAGAGGACCAUCAUUUCUCAUCCAUGGAACCCAUCUGCACA